rnacentral:misc_RNA from 1 species
GAUGAAGAACGCAGCGAAAUGCGAUAAGUAGUGUGAAUUGCAGAAUUCAGUGAAUCAUCGAAUCUUUGAACGCACAUUGCGCCCCUUGGUAUUCCAUGGGGCAUGCCUGUUCGAGCGUCAUUUGUACCUUCAAGCUUUGCUUGGUGUUGGGUGUUUGUCUCGCCUUUACGUGUAGACUCGCCUUAAAAUAAUUGGCAGCCGGCGUAUUGAUUUCGGAGCGCAGUACAUCUCGCGCUUUGCACUCAUAACGACAGCGUCCAAAAGUACAUUUUACACUCUUGACCUCGGAUCAGGUAGGGAUACCCGCUGAACUUAAGCAUAUCAAUAAGCGGAGGA